GACGUACUGGUUAGAUCGGGAUACUCAUCAAAUAAUCUGAAAACCGAGUCAAUCCCCUUGUCAAUGGCGGGCCACAGCCCUUCGGGGCAGUCUCACAGCCGGUGGAUUACAAAGACGGAGGACGCUCAAACUUAUCUCAAUAAGGAGUUUUCAUCACAAUCACAGUACGUCCCUUU
rnacentral:sRNA from 1 species